GAAACGGCAGAAAGAAAAUUAUAGAGAGAGAAUGAAAAUUCUAGAGAGAGAAUGAAAGUUCUAGAGAGAGAGGGAGGUAACCGCCGCUCCGGCCACGAGGAGUCUGGUUCCGGCCGAGCCUUCAUGAAAUCUUCACAGAACGUAGAGAGGAACAUUCUUAACUUUUAGAUCGUCCAAAACCAUCCAGAAACGAGGAAAAAUCUAAAGAGGAUUACGCUCAAAAUCUGUGAAGAAGUUUGGCCGAGACCUCAACCCAAAGGCGGAGAUCCGAGGGUCAUCCGAGAACGGUGAGCGAACUUCCGGCGUUCUUAAAUCCUCCGAUAGUCAAGAAAAAAA